rnacentral:rRNA from 1 species
ACAUGCCUACAACAUAGUGUUAAUGCAUCGGAUCCCAUUAGAAGUCUAUAGUUGAGUGCACUAAGGAUAUAGUACUACUGGGAUGGGUGACUGCCCGGGAAGUCAUAGUGUUUUACAUGCC